CUAAAAAUCUAGCCCCACAACCCCACCCACUUUUCACAGUAUAAAACAAAAUAUUUUAUCAACCUAGUAAAGAAGAUUAAAAAAUUUUUAGGAGCUAUAAAAAUGUACCGUAAGGGAAAGAUGAAAUAAAAUUGAAACACCUUAAGCACAAAAAAAUAGAGACUCACCCUCGUACCUUUUGCAUCAUGGUUUAGCUAGUCUAAUUAGGCAAAAAGACCAUUAAGUCUGACCCCCCGAAACUGAGUGAGCUAAUUUAGGGCCGCUUAUGAGCUAACCCGUCUAUGUAGAAGAAUAGUGGGAUGACCCUAAAAUAGAGGUGACAGACCUAACGAACACAGUCAUAGCUGGUUUCUCAGGAAAAGAAUCUUAGUCCAACCUAAAGGAACUAAAAUAUUUACAAAUAUAACUUUAUCCUUUAGAGCAACUCAAAUAAGGUACAGCCUAUUUGAAACAGGAUCCAACCUUUAAGACCGGGUAACGGAACCCCCCCCCAAUUCUUAAGUAGGCCUAAAAGCAGCCACCUUUAAAAAAGCGUUAAAGCUUACACUUACACCUAAUCCAUAACCCCUUACUGACCCCUUCACCCCCUACUGAGAACUUCUAUACACUUAUAGAACCUUUUAUGCUAAAACUAGUAACAAGAGGUUUUUCCUCUCUCCAAUGUAAACUUAAGCCAGUCCGAACUUAUCACUGGCACUUAACAGACUAUCAAAAUAGUAACUUCCCUAGAAAAUACUACUUCACCCACUGUUAACCUAACACAAGAACAUUUCAAGAAGAUUAAAAGAGAAAGAAGGAACUCGGCAAACAUUAAACCCGCCUGUUUACCAAAAACAUCACCUCUUGAUCUCAUAAGAGGCACCGCCUGCCCAGUGAUUUUAUUCAACGGCCGCGGUAUCCCUACCGUGCUAAGGUAGCGUAAUCAUUUGUCUUCUAAAUAAAGACCAGUAUGAAAGGCACCACGAGGAUUAAACUGUCUCCUUCCUCUAAUCAGUGAACCUAAUCUCCCCGUGAAGAAGCGGGGGUAUUUUUAUAAGACGAGAAGACCCUAUGGAGCUUAAAACACACUACACGUGCCAUCUAAUUCAUGUAACUGAGGUUCUAAAAUACCCAUUGGCACGCUGAUUAUAUGUUUUCGGUUGGGGUGACCACGAAGAAUAAACUAUCCUUCACGAUGAAUAGGGUACGCCCUAAAUAACAAGCCACGACUUUACUUAUCAACAAAUUGACAUUCAUUGACCCAAUAUUUUGAUCAACGAACCAAGUUACCCUAGGGAUAACAGCGCAAUCCACUUUAAGAGUUCAUAUCGACAAGUGGGCUUACGACCUCGAUGUUGGAUCAGGGUAUCCCAGUGGUGUAGCCGCUACUAAAGGUUCGUUUGUUCAACGAUUAAAACCCUACGU
rnacentral:rRNA from 1 species